rnacentral:rRNA from 1 species
GGGGGGGGGGGGGGGGGGGGGGGGGGGGGGCGGGUGGGGGGGUGGGGGGGGGUACGUGUGCCGACUGGGUGGGCGGCGAACGGGUGAGUAACGCGUGGGGAAUCUGCCUGUGAGCGGGGGACAACAUUUGGAAACGAAUGCUAAUACCGCAUAAAAACUUUAAACACACGUUUUCAGUUUGAAAGAUGCAAUUGCAUCACUCAAAGAUGAUCCCGCGUUGUAUUAGCUAGUUGGUGAGGUAAAGGCUCACCAAGGCGAUGAUACAUAGCCGACCUGCGAGGGUGAUCGGCCACAGUGGGACCGAGACCAGGCCCAAGAUCCUACGGGAGGCAGCAGUAGGGAAUCUUCGGAAAUGGACGAAAGUCUGACCGAGCAACGCCGCGUGAGUGAAGAAGGUUUUCGGAUCGUAAAACGCUGUUGGUAGAGAAGAACGUUGGUGAGAGUGGAAAGCUCAUCAAGUGACGGUAACUACGCAGAAAGGGACGGCUAACUACGUG